rnacentral:rRNA from 1 species
CAAGGAAUUUUCGUCAAUGGGGGCAACCCUGAACGAGCAACGCCGCGUGGGCGAAGAAGUCCUUCGGGAUGUAAAGCCCUUUUCCCUGGGAAGAAAGAAAGACGGUACCAGGGGAAUAAGCAUCGGCUAACUACGUGCCAGCAGCCGCGGUAAUACGUAGGAUGCAAGCGUUGUCCGGAAUUAUUGGGCGUAAAGAGCGCGCAGGCGGUCCAUCAAGUCAGAUGUGAAAUAGCCAGGCUUAACCUGGAGGGGUCAUUUGAAACUGGUGGACUAGAGUACAGCAGAGGAUAGCGGAAUUCCCGGUGUAGUGGUGAAAUGCGUAGAUAUCGGGAGGAACGCCAGUGGCGAAGGCGGCUAUCUGGGCUGAAACUGACGCUGAGGCGCGAAGGCUAGGGGAGCAAACAG